UGGGGGAUAUUGCACAAUGGGCGAAAGCCUGAUGCAGCGACGCCGCGUGGGGGAUGAAGGCUUUCGGGUUGUAAACCUCUUUCGCUAUCGAACAAGGCCCGCUUAGGGUGGGUUGAGGGUAGGUGGAGAAGAAGCACCGGCUAACUACGUGCCAGCAGCCGCGGUAAUACGUAGGGCGCGAGCGUUGUCCGGAAUUAUUGGGCGUAAAGGGCUUGUAGGCGGCUUGUUGCGCCUGCUGUGAAAACGCGGGGCUUAACUUCGCGCGUGCAGUGGGUACGGGCAGGCUUGAGUGUGGUAGGGGUGACUGGAAUUCCAGGUGUAGCGGUGGAAUGCGCAGAUAUCUGGAGGAACACCGAUGGCGAAGGCAGGUCACUGGGCCAUUACUGACGCUGAGGAGCGAAAGCAUGUGUAGCGAACAGG
rnacentral:rRNA from 1 species